AACGUGACUUGUGUUUCGAAAAGAGGCCUUAGGUAAUAUGGGGGCCCCAUCGUGUUAGGUAUUAAUGAAUGAUGGGCCAAUUAGGGAUUUAGCCCUUAUUAGCCUGUUAAGCCAUUCCCAAAUGUGUGGAACGUUUGGAAAAAGAGAAGAGGAUUUGUAGAAUUAGAUUAGAUUUUUACUACUACUAACAAUAAAUUUUACUAUGAUGGAAAAGUCGCUAUAGUUAAGACACUCAUCGGCCACGGACCGUCGGAGAUGGUGGUGGGAGAUGGUGGCCAGAGUUAACAGUAAAAGUGAGUGGUGGGUAGAAAGUAAUGUGGGUAUUUUUUCUAAUUUAACAAAACAUAGUUUUGACAUUAGAAUUUUAUUAGAUGAACUAUUUUGUUGAAAGAGGAGAUCACUGUGAUGGACCUUGACCGAAAUGCCAUUUUUAAAAUAAAUAUUCAUAAUUAUAUGAUUAUUUAUGUCUAAUCAAUUUAAAUUUUUACAGAUUGAUCUGUUCAACAAGUUUUAUAAAAAAAAAGAAGGAGAAGACUCAUCUUGAGUUUUUAUCUGUGUUGAACCGUCUUGUCCAUUAUGCCCACGCUUAAACUCACCUUGAUGAUUCUAGUUAUUUACAUUUUAGGAUUCACUAAAUACAUGAUUAGAUAAAAAUUCCAUGGCACCAAACCCGGCCUCAACUUCUUCACACCCAUCAACUGCCGCCACCUCCUUCCUUCACUCACCAUCUCCUUCACCCCCUUCCUGACCAUUCUCACUGCCCGAGCUCGCGGCAUCUUCCAAAUGCCCCCUCCUCGUCUCAGCAAUCGGUAAUUUCUUAUACUUUUUUAUGCAAAAAACAGGUUGCAUAUUAAUUAUGGCAUUAUUAACCCGCAUACGUACCAACAUUUUCCCAAAAAAACGAAGAGAGCAAUCAGGACAGUUCAUGUGGGUGUGAGGAUUGACCAUCUCAUGCACUUGUUUUCUAGGUGUUUUUUUUUGGAUAACUUUUUCUUUGUCGUAUAUUUAUUUAUGCACAAACAUGAUUGUCAUUAUAUAUGUCAUUAUACCGAAAAUACUUUACAAUUACCCCCCAAAACGAAGCAAUUUGCUUGAUUCCUUGUGGGCGUGAUUGAAUUGGCAUACGUGCACUUGUUUUGGUAAUUUUUGCUAUAUUUUUCUGGGUACUUAUCAUUUAUUUAUGCACAAACACGUGGCUAUGACGAUAUGUUCAUUACAAACACCAAUACCUUAAAAUGCAUCCAAAAAACAAAACAUCUUGACUAGAUUCAUUGGGACGGUGACUGAUUAACAUUCAUUCACUUGUUCUAGGUCAUUGUUGGCUAAUUCUUUUGUGGGUACAUAUCCAUUUAUUGUUGCACAAACCGUGUUGAUUGAAGUAUGUUCAUUACAAACAGUAGUACUUAGAAAAAUACCUAGAAACAAAGCAUGUGGACUGAAUUCAGUGUGUGUGUGAUGGAAUUGACACCAUGCACUUUUGUUUAUGGGUAAUUUUUAGGCUUAGUUUUUUUUUAAAUUUCAGGUUAAUUUGUGUGGUUAUUGUUGUGGGUGGGGUUUUAGGUACUUUUUGGUUAGAGCAAGGGAGUCUGAAUUUGAGAGCCUAGGGUUGAUUAACACGAACCCAGUUGUGAAGACGUCGGUUAACAACGGAUUAUCGGAGAGAGGGAAGAAGACGACGGCGACAAGAGCAGCUUUGGAGUUGAAGGAAAUGGAGGCAUGUGAAGGGAUAUUUGGUUUGGCCUUCAAUCACUCAAAGAGCUUAUCAGGCUGUCGAGAUUAUUGCUGCAGUGAAGGGUCAAAAGGGUCAAUCGCUGGUAACGUGAAAUUGGGUCACAACCCAAAUCACUGAGCUAGGAGUGCGAAAAAUGAAUGGGUUUUUCUGGAAUCAAUGGAUUCUCGGAUUUUAUUAGUGAUUUUAGACUUCUAAUAUUGAGGAUUUUGUAAAACUGUCUUGACUUACCUGCAUUGCAUUCCAUCUUGCUUAAGCAUAUGUAUUGCUUUGGAACUGCAGACCUGGCAAUGAGCGCACGGAGUUGCUUCUAGCUUCAGUGAAUUGAUAAUAGUGUAAAUCCCAAGUGUCGAUACAUAUAAAGGAUUAACAAGCCAAACCAAUAUUAAGCGAGGGCGAUGUCCAUUCGAGAUUGAGAAAGAUAUUCACUUAGGAUCCUGAGCAUUUGGGCUAAAAGUAUAACAGUAAAAAACAAACAGUUUGGUCAAUUAGUGAGUGAUGAUGUGCUUUUCAAGUCCCAGAUUCGGUGGUACAAGUUUUGAUUUGACAAACAGACAAAGUGUUAGCUACAUAUUUUUUUUUUUUUUCUGUGAUAUCAUUACGAUGUACAACCUAAUAAUCAUGAUUUAAGGGCAGAGGUGUGUUAGUGAAGAAAUACGUUGGUGUGAGCGGUGAAAGUAAUUUGAUGCGAGAAAGACUAGGAAUGAUAGGUUGCUGGACUGGGAUUGAGAACCAAUCAAGAAUCAGACCGGGCCACACUUUGAAAUGGGU
rnacentral:lncRNA from 1 species